GACGAACGCUGGCGGCGUGCUUAACACAUGCAAGUCGAACGGUGAAGCGCUUGCCUUUUUGGUGGGUGUGGAUGAGUGGCGAACGGGUGAGUAACACGUGAGUAACCUGCCCUCUUCUUCUGGAUAACCUCAUGAAAGUGGGGCUAAUACGGGGUAUUCCGGGUCUGUCGCAUGGCGGGUUUGGGAAAGAUUGCGCCUUUGGGUGUUUUCGGUGGGGGAUGGGCUCGCGGCCUAUCAGCUUGUUGGUGGGGUGAUGGCCUACCAAGGCGGUGACGGGUAGCCGGCCUGAGAGGGUGGACGGCCACACUGGGACUGAGACACGGCCCAGACUCCUGCGGGAGGCAGCAGUGGGGAAUAUUGCACAAUGGGCGCAAGCCUGAUGCAGCGACGCCGCGUGAGGGAUGGAGGCCUUCGGGUUGUGAACCUCUUUCGCCAGUGAAGCAGGCCUGCUCCUGUGUGGGUGGGUUGACGGUAGCUGGAUAAGAAGCACCGGCUAACUACGUG
rnacentral:rRNA from 1 species